GAUGAAGAACGCAGCGAAAUGCGAUAAGUAAUGUGAAUUGCAGAAUUCAGUGAAUCAUCGAAUCUUUGAACGCACAUUGCGCCCCUUGGUAUUCCGAGGGGCAUGCCUGUUCGAGCGUCAUAUUAACCACUCCCGCUUGCGGGGUCUUGGGCUUCGCCUCCGGGCGGGCCUUAAAAUCAGUGGCGGUGCCGUCGGGCUCUACGCGUAGUAAAUUUUCUCGCGAUAGGGUCCCGGUGGAUGCUUGCCAACAACCCCCAACUUCUUAAGGUUGACCUCGGAUCAGGUAGGGAUACCCGCUGAACUUAAGCAUAUAAUAAGCGGAGGA
rnacentral:misc_RNA from 1 species